GACGAACGCUGGCGGCGUGCCUAAUACAUGCAAGUAGAACGCUGAAGGAGGAGCUUGCUUCUCUGGAUGAGUUGCGAACGGGUGAGUAACGCGUAGGUAACCUGCCUGGUAGCGGGGGAUAACUAUUGGAAACGAUAGCUAAUACCGCAUAAUAGUAGAUGUUGCAUGACAUUUGCUUAAAAGGUGCAAUUGCAUCACUACCAGAUGGACCUGCGUUGUAUUAGCUAGUUGGUGGGGUAACGGCUCACCAAGGCGACGAUACAUAGCCGACCUGAGAGGGGGAUCGGCCACACUGGGACUGAGACACGGCCCAGACUCCUACGGGAGGAAGCAGUAGGGAAUCUUCGGCAAUGGACGGAAGUCUGACCGAGCAACGCCGCGUGAGUGAAGAAGGUUGUCGGAUCGUAAAGCUCUGUUGUAAGAGAAGAACGAGUGUGAGAGUGGAAAGUUCACACUGUGACGGUAGCUUACCAGAAAGGGACGGCUAACUACGUG
rnacentral:rRNA from 1 species